rnacentral:tRNA from 1 species
GUGCGGAAUCGUCGGCGGAGCGGCCGGCGGCUUGUUCAUCCGAUGUGUUGUCGCGGCAGGCGGUAGCGCGGCGUUCAAUCGCCGUCCGCUGA